GAUGAACGCUGGCGGCGUGCCUAAUACAUGCAAGUCGAGCGAACGGACGAGGAGCUUGCUCCUCUGAUGUUAGCGGCGGACGGGUGAGUAACACGUGGAUAACCUACCUAUAAGACUGGGAUAACUUCGGGAAACCGGAGCUAAUACCGGAUAAUAUUUUGAACCGCAUGGUUCAAAAGUUAAAGACGGUUUUGCUGUCACUUAUAGAUGGAUCCGCGCCGCAUUAGCUAGUUGGUAAGGUAACGGCUUACCAAGGCAACGAUGCGUAGCCGACCUGAGAGGGUGAGCGGCCACACUGGAACUGAGACACGGUCCAGACUCCUACGGGAGGCAGCAGUAGGGAAUCUUCCGCAAUGGGCGAAAGCCUGACGGAGCAACGCCGCGUGAGUGAUGAAGGUCUUCGGAUCGUAAAACUCUGUUAUUAGGGAAGAACAAAUGUGUAAGUAACUGUGCACGUCUUGACGGUACCUAAUCAGAAAGCCACGGCUAACUACGUG
rnacentral:rRNA from 1 species